CAAUGCACCGCGCGAGGGAAAAAAACAGCCAGCAGGGGUCCCGUGAAAAUAUCUCCUCUCCCCUGCCCUCUCUCCCGUGUUCUCCCCUCCCCUGAUCCCCGUUCCCUCCCAUCGCGCCGCCGGCUCCACGCGGCGCCGACGCGACCUUCUCUCCCCCAACGCUCGAGAUCCCCUUCUUCCCUCCGGCCGCGCCGCCGGCUCCACGCGGCGCCCGUGCUCACCCGCUCAUCCAUGGCUCCAUCCCUCCUCCUUGUCCGAUGGAGCGACCGGCAUCGCUCCGUCUCGAACUGCUCCAGGAGAGAGAAAGAGGAGAGGGAGGUGUGGCGGCGGACGGGAGAGGGUCACCGGCUGCUGCCGGCCUGCGCGGACGAAGUCGGGCGCGACCUCGCGGUCUGUGGCGGCUCAAUCUGCUCCUGGAUCGGUCGAGGGCCACGCCAAGGUCGUUGAUCUGCUGCUCGACCGCGAUGCGGAGGCCAUCGUCCAGGACCAGUGGGGAAGCACGACGAAUGUUUUACUACACAUGGUGUUAACUAAGCGCAUGAAGAUUAUGCCUUCUUCAAUGCAAUAUUAUGCUGACACUUUUGAGAGAGGAGAAGAAAGAGAGGGCGACAUGCUGGCCGACGACGAUGCAGCCUCGGAAGAGGAGGAGGAGAAGAAAGAAGAAAGAGAGGGUGAGAAGAGUCCGAUUCUGGUCAAGAGAUGCCAUGGGGAAGAUGCUGGCCUUAUUUCUCACACCCCGAAAGUCACAUUACUUCUAUGAACCAGAAGAACUAGAGAAGGGUAACUUAACGUUGUAUUCAGAUCUGGGUUGACAUAUGAAGACGUGAGAGCUAAAGCAAAUAGACUGCGAGGUUAUCAGGAUACUGGAGAAAUGGGUUUUGCUUUAGUCCUUGUUAAUGGCACUGGUUUUUCUGGUGCGAGUAAAGCCCGACAGUGGUGUACUCCAGGCAAUGUGAAGCUGGGACUUCCCUAUCAGGCGUGACCUUGUAGCCAAAUCCAUGAGGAGUCGGAGGCAGUUGCAGCAACUAACCAUGAAGCGACGGCAGAGAUCCAGAUUAUCUGUCUGACCAGCACAAGGUGGCAACAACAGUAGUGGAGAAGGCAUGAAGAGGCCCACAUCUGAAAAUCCGUUCUGCUGACUGAUCAAGGGAGAUGGUCCCAGCAUCCACUGUGACAAUGUUGUCCAGAACAUGGACUCUGGAAACUGAAAAGUAUUUUGCUUCCAGGCGCAUAAAGGCCACCGAUCGGAUCAGCGCGAAGAAACCCGUUCGGACCGCCGCCGCAAGCCUCGCCUCAGCAACGGAUCAACCUCUGCACCUACAUCCACUUCGACAGGUCCUCAGUCAAAGCAGGUCCUUUCCGAAAAGCUUUGAUACGACAUGUGCGCUGGAAAGCUCCAUCUUGUUGUUGGACUUGGUGAAGCUAAUGGGCCCGAGUCCAAAGUGGCCUGAAAUAACGGAGAGUACUGAACCUGGGCAAAAAACAGUCGAUAGGUCUGACAUUACCGUUCGAGUGUAUCGCUUGAAACUUCUUGAGUACCUACAGAAAAUGAGGACAGGGAGGAUGUUUGGGCCUAUAGUUGCUGUUAUCCACACAGGGGAGUUUCAUAAGAGGGAGCUGCCGCAUGCGUGUGUCCUUGUUUGGCAAGAGAAGCAUCAUGACCGGGGUUCUCAACUGACUGAUAUUGAUGCUGAUGCUCCUGCUACUAUGCCUCCUAACACGAUGGAAACUACAGUUCCUAUGCCACUUAAGCUUAACAGGGGUGCUACUGCUGCUGCUUUUUUUUUUGAACCGGGCGUGCCCCUUUCCAUUUAAGAUAAAUGGAAAUACAACAGUCUCCGAUACAACCAGGAAGCAAGGAAAGAGAGGCAGCGAGUUCAAUGCACUGCCAGGAAACCCACUGUGCUCGCCCGCCAUCGAAACGAGCACCAUGGGGCGAAAACCUGACAUCACCUACUUAGUUUGAAUCUAGCUAUUACAAACCAGGGAAAAGGCACAAACAAAGAGGUGCCAGAUAACAUAAAGUAUGUAGACUUCAUUUCAUCAAAAACGCUGAAGUAGUGGUUGAUCCAAGUUUUCAGAUAAGCAUGCAUGUGUGCUUUGUUCGCUAAAUUGGUCCUCGCAACCUUUGCUGUGGCUACUAAACCACCACCUGCAAGGACAAGUGAAGACUGCUACCCUGUUGCUGUCCUCAUACGCUUGUAUUUUCAGUGUUUUGAACAAACCCAGGCUUUAGCACUAAUAAAGGUAGCCUGGACAACAAAGCCGUUUUCAAUAUCCAUGAAACGUGCAACGAUGACUCCAUCUAAUGUUCGUCGCCUCAUAAGAUGUAUCUCUAGCUAUCUACCAUGCUUCCUAAUAACAUUGUAAAUAAUCGAUCAAAAACUUCUUAUAACCACUAUGUAUCAUCACUAAGUAUCUAUCUACCAGCAGUAAGUAUUUAUUAUU